UAAAAUAAUUUAAACACCCUUUUAUCUUCCAACAGAGGUAGCAUCACAAUUCAUUUUCCUUUCCCUAUUCUCUCUCUAUCUCACGCCACUAUCCCUUCUUUUAUUUUUCGGUUUCAAAAAUAUAAACAAUCUUCCACUUUUCUUUUAUCACACAAAAUUUAAACACAAUUAAAAAUCAAAGAUUAACCCUAAAAGAAGAGGGUAUGGUCAUAAUUGUAGCUUUGCGUAUGAGGCUUGCUCACGGUGGUUGGUUCAAUCUCGGAGCGAAGGGACUGGAGUCCAGACGGUGGUGUCCCAACGUACGGCAGCGGAAACAGUUUCGAAUUAGAGGCGAAGACGGUGGCUCGUGGUGGCGUGAAGGUUGAUGCGAAAGAGGGAGUUGUGCGGCUGGGAAGCUUGAGUCGAGAUAAAUUAGAGGUUUCAUCUUUGCUGUCUGCGUUGGAGUGGGGGUGUCGAUUUGUGCAUUCAAAACUAACUCUUUCUUUUCUUAUCCAUUCUUUGUAUUCUUUCAAUAUUUUGGUUGUUUAGUUGAUGCUAAAAUUUGCUGGCUUUGAAUGAAUUGAUGUUGGUGAGGGUGGUUUAGAAGCUGGUUGUUGAGUAUUUUACAAUAUAUUGUAACAGUAAUUGAACAAAAAGGAAAGUAUCAAUUGAUAUUGCUUCUAAGCUCUGUGCAAUAUAUUGCUUCUAAUUUUUCUAAUAGUUGAUACUUCAUUCUUACUUAAAAUUUUAUUUGCAGAAUUGUCGGGCCGGUUAAUGGUCGGUUAAGCAAGCCUCCUUCCAUUGAGUACCAAAUACAAAAGGUGGAAGCUUUUAGAAUUUGUUGAAGUCAACUGCAGCUCAAUAUGUUUCUUUGACAUUGAUAAACAUGAAUCUGCAAUUUUGUGUUGGUCUAGAGCUAGAAAUAAAGCUGCAGAAGUUGGAAAACUUGCUUCGCACUGCAACAUUGGCGCGAAGAAAGUAAUAGAUCAACCCGCAGCAUCGAUAUGGACAUAAUCUACACUUUUAUUAUGAUAAAUGACAUCAAUUCAACGUUUUGAAUGACAACAUCACAGAAUAAUUGAAGAUUCAUUAUUGUUCUCAGCCCUCUAUGAUCUAUCACAUAAAAUCAUUACUUUUAAUCCUUUCAUCUGAUUCGUAGAACCUUUGUUUUGUUAUUUGCUUGGUUUUUUUACAUAUAGUAAGUCAUUACUCAAACAAGUGAUUAAAAUUGUUUGCCAUUAAUGGAAAUGUGGUGCAGGAUCCAGAAAAAUCAUUGAAAUAUGUGAGAUCAAUGUAAAAUAUAUUGGAGAAAGAUGUCAAACUUUCAGGUCUUUGAACUAUAUUUUUUGUCAAGUCUAAUGGAAGUUCAAGCCUGUUUGGUUUUCUUCUCCUCUUAGUGUAAUUUGCUAGAAAAUUGCACUUCAUGUCAUUCAUAUUCCAAUUUUUAAUGUUUAGAUUUCUUAAUUUAAUUUGGGUUGCGUGCACUUUAAGUAACAAAGAUAUUUUUGAGUACUACUAAUAACAAAGACAUGUUAUAGUGUUACCAUAGCGUGAGCGUCAUAUGUAAAUGGU